AAUGUCUAUAAGUGUUUGAAUUGCAUCUAAAUAUGUAAUUAAUACAAAACCAAGAACAAAAUCAAUUUAGCUCCAUAACUAGCUCCAAUCUUAAUCUGUAAUGAAGGAGGGCAAAGGCCAUCUCUAACUGCACAUAACUUCCUGCAUUCACCAUUCCGUUACAUACAGAGACCAAUUGAUAGACAAAAAAAUGGCAGGAAAGCAGAUCUCAAGAUCCAAGUCACGAAUCAUCCUGUUAGCACUCUCCCUACUCGGUUUCUCUCUCCUCAUCUUCCUUUCAUCUCUCUCCCCCCUCCGCACUUCCUCUCCUUCCUCCCCCACCCAUUUCCACCUUCCCACUUCCCACACUUCAUUCGUCGCCUCCCUCGAACACUUCCUCACCAUACCCCACUCCGAACACACUCUCCCCCAACUAGACGUCAACAACCUCGACGACGCCAUUUUCAAUUCCGAAUCUGAUAGACUCUAUUCCCAUCCAUAUUACCCUAUUACUCUUCCCCUUAGGGUUUACGUCUACAACAUGCCCUCCAAAUUCACCUACGAUUUGCUUCGGCUUUUUAUAAAUACCUACAGAGAUACCUCCAAUCUCACCUCCAACGGUAGCCCCGUUCACCGUCUCAUCGAACAGCACUCCAUUGAUUACUGGCUUUGGGCUGAUCUCAUUGCUCCUCAAUCUGAAAGACUUUUGAAAAGCGUUGUUAGGGUUCAUCGGCAAGAAGAUGCUGACUUGUUCUAUGUUCCCUUCUUCACCACUAUUAGCUUCUUUCUCUUGGAAAAACAACAAUGCAAGGCCCUUUAUAGGGAAGCUUUGAAGUGGAUCACUGAUCAACCUGCUUGGAAGCGUUCUGGUGGAAGGGAUCAUAUUAUCCCCGUGCAUCAUCCGUGGUCUUUUAAAUCUGUUAGGAGAUCCGUGAAAAAAGCAAUAUGGUUGUUGCCGGAUAUGGAUUCCACGGGGAACUGGUACAAGCCGGGGCAGGUUUAUCUUGAGAAAGACCUGAUUCUUCCCUAUGUUCCCAAUGUUGAUUUUUGUGAUGCUCAAUGUUUGUCUGAAAUAAAUCCCAAGAGAAGUACGCUUCUCUUCUUCCGGGGCCGGCUCAAAAGAAAUGCGGGUGGAAAGAUACGUUCUAAACUUACAGAUCAAUUAAGUGGAGCUGAUGGUGUAAUUAUAGAGGAGGGAACUUCCGGAGAGAGGGGGAAAGAAGCAGCUCAAAAUGGCAUGCGCAAGUCUCUAUUUUGCCUAAGCCCUGCUGGUGACACUCCGUCCUCUGCUAGAUUAUUUGAUGCCAUUGUUAGUGGCUGCAUUCCAGUUAUAAUAAGUGAUGAGCUGGAGCUUCCUUUCGAAGGAAUACUUGAUUACAGGAAGAUAGCUUUGUUUGUUUCAUCCAAUGAUGCCCUAAAGCCAGGUUAUCUCUUGAAAUAUUUAAAAGACAUUCAACCUACUCAUAUAAAAGAAAUGCAACAAAAUCUUGCCAAGUACUCGAGGCAUUUCCUGUAUUCCAGUCCAGCUCAACCGUUGGGUCCUGAAGACUUGGUUUGGAAAAUGGCAACAAUCCAAACCAAGUGGCUCCUUCACCUGGGAAAAUUCUCUGAAACUGCUAUGUUUCAAGACUACUGGGUCUUAUGAAGCAUGUCAUGGAAACGACAGUCAAGACUUGUUUCUGCAGCUGUGGCUAUGUUUAUGUUGGCUUUGACAAGGGUGAUAUUGCAGAAGUGUCUUGCUGCGUGCAGAAGACAGGAACAAAAUGGCAAUUUUGUAGUUGUAAAAAUAAAUUAAUAAUUUAUUCCAUCCCAUGUCUCCCAAAUUAGGAGGGAACAAAAAUGAUAUUAAGUGAUCAGCUGUGAGAUGGAAUAGAUGUCAUCGAGUUCAAUUCCAUUUCAUCAUUCUUUCUAGAAUCUAAACAAAUGGAACAUAUCAAUCACAUUUUAUUCCUCUCCAUUUAAUAACAUUCCAUCAACCCAAACAUACCCUAAAAGAAAGGUGGAGCUCAAAAUGUUGAAAGGUUUAAUAAUAUUGACGACAUGUAGGCUGCAGCUCCCUAAAAGAAAGGUGGUUUAUUACUUUAGUAUUUGGCUUACUGGUGUUAUGGAAUUUGGAAAAUUUCAGCUUUGCUAACAAACUAUGACUACAGCUUUACAGUUUCUAGAUGUUACUAGGUAGGGUUAUGAAUUUGAGUAAACCUCCGCAAGUAGGCCAAUGAGAUGUGCUAUAAGGUUAAGAAGGAUGGCGGGCAAGGUGGUGAACAUCAAGCUUCAUACCCGAAGAUCUCAACGUGUAGUGGAAGGAUCACGAAAUCUGUGCACAUGUGAAUGCAGACCUG